rnacentral:rRNA from 1 species
CCCGAGUGGCGGACGGGUGAGUAACGCGUGGGAACCUGUCGCGUGGUGGGGGAUAACGCUGGGAAACCGGCGCUAAUACCGCAUAUGGCCCCUUUUAGGGGAGCAAAGCAGCAAUGCGCCGUGCGAGGGGCCCGCGUCCGAUUAGCUUGUUGGUGGGGUAACGGCCUACCAAGGCGACGAUCGGUAGCUGGUCUGAGAGGAUGGUCAGCCACACUGGGACUGAGAUACGGCCCAG